GUUCUAACACAAUUUGAAUCUAACGUGAAGAACGAUGACAUGUAACCAAUGACAAAUUUAAGAGGCGUGACUUGCUGGAGGAGCCCCGGCUGCGAUGUGAAGACCGUAAUUAAACCCCGCAGCAUCCGCAAAAGACAGCAUGGGGUUUCAAGCGUGGAGUAUAUCGUUUCUGUUGUUGAGCGGAUUUGAACACCGACCGUGUUUGGUAAACACAUUUUUGGCCCUCCAAAUCUUGUUCAAGUGACCGGCAUCUGCGUCAGUUGGACUGGGUGGUCAGACUGUGAUCUUACACAACCUGAGCAGAUACUUUGUAUUGAGGACAGCCGGGUGAUGAUACAAAGUACAUUAUCACAAUGGGGUCAGUUACGG
ensembl:lncRNA